UCCCUGGUGGCUCAGAUGGUAAAGUGUCUGUCUAUAAUGCAGGAGACCCGGGUUCGAUCCCUGGGUUGGGAA
rnacentral:tRNA from 1 species